rnacentral:rRNA from 1 species
GUUUGAUCCUGGCUCAGGACGAACGCUGGCGGCGUGCUUAACACAUGCAAGUCGAACGGUAAGGCCCCUUCGGGGGUACACGAGUGGCGAACGGGUGAGUAACACGUGAGCAACCUGCCCUUGACUUCGGGAUAACAGCUGGAAACAGCUGCUAAUACCGGAUAUGACUCCGACCGUCCUCGGUCGGGGUGGAAAGCUCCGGCGGUCAGGGAUGGGCUCGCGGCCUAUCAGCUUGUUGGUGAGGUAAUGGCUCACCAAGGCUUCGACGGGUAGCCGGCCUGAGAGGGCGACCGGCCACACUGGGACUGAGAUACGGCCCAGACUCCUACGGGAGGCAGCAGUGGGGAAUAUUGCACAAUGGGCGCAAGCCUGAUGCAGCAACGCCGCGUGCGGGAUGACGGCCUUCGGGUUGUAAACCGCUUUCAGUAGGGACGAAGCGCAAGUGACGGUACCUACAGAAGAAGGACCGGCUAACUACGUGCCAGCAGCCGCGGUGAUACGUAGGGUCCGAGCGUUGUCCGGAAUUAUUGGGCGUAAAGGGCUUGUAGGCGGUCCGUCGCGUCAGGAGUGAAAACUCAGGGCUUAACCCUGAGCCUGCUUUUGAUACGGGCGGACUAGAGGGAUGCAGGGGAGAACGGAAUUCCUGGUGGAGCGGUGGAAUGCGCAGAUAUCAGGAGGAACACCGGUGGCGAAGGCGGUUCUCUGGGCAUUACCUGACGCUGAGAAGCGAAAGCGUGGGGAGCAAACAGGCUUAGAUACCCUGGUAGUCCACGCCGUAAACGGUGGGCACUAGGUGUGGGGGACAUUCCACGUUCUCCGUGCCGAAGCUAACGCAUUAAGUGCCCCGCCUGGGGAGUACGGCCGCAAGGCUAAAACUCAAAGGAAUUGAC